AUCAUGACCGGUGGACGAAUUUUCACUUCACUCACGAAUCGAAUACACCCAAUUUUUCAGCGUAGCCAGUGCCCGUCCGUAGCGUGGCGCGACUUGCGGACAGGUGAGGAACUAACAACGGAAACCAGAAACUCGUUGCAUUCGAAGUACGUGUUCAACAGGUUGCCUAUUUGUUUGAGGGUGAUCCACAGAGGAUAUCUCCAGGGCCGGCCUUAAACAUCCAGGCGUCCCGGGCCUGUCACUUGAAACAGUGUGUCCCAUUUAAGAAAAAUCCAGUCAUUUAUUUUUGUAAUUUUUGUUGAGUUGUUUAUUAAUAAACAAACUGAUA